CCUACGGGAGGCAGCAGUAGGGAAUAUUGCUCAAUGGGGGAAACCCUGAAGCAGCAACGCCGCGUGGAGGAUGAAGGUUUUCGGAUUGUAAACUCCUUUUGUUAGAGAAGAUAAUGACGGUAUCAAACGAAUAAGCACCGGCUAACUCCGUGCCAGCAGCCGCGGUAAUACGGAGGGUGCAAGCGUUACUCGGAAUCACUCGGGGGAAAGAGCGCGUAGGCGGGAUAGCAAGUCAGAUGUGAAAUCCUAUGGCUUAACCAUAGAACUGCAUUGGAAACUGUUAUUCUAGAGUAUGGGAGAGGUAGGUGGAAUUCGUGGUGUAGGGGUAAAAUCCGUAGAGAUCAAGAGGAAUACUCAUUGCGAAGGCGACCUGCUAGAACAUAACUGACGCUGAUGCGCGAAAGCGUGGGGAGCAAACAGGAUUAGAUACCCUAGUAGUC
rnacentral:rRNA from 1 species